ACGCUCGACACCUACGGGAGCAGCAGUGGGGAAUAUUGCACAAUGGGGGAAACCCUGAUGCAGCGACGCCGCGUGGAGGAAGAAGGUCUUCGGAUUGUAAACUCCUGUUGUUGGGGAAAAAGAGGAUGGUACCCAACAAGGAAGUGACGGCUAACUACGUCNCNNNCGCGAAGUAUNGCGGCGNGNGAGAG
rnacentral:rRNA from 1 species